GAUGAAGAACGUAGCGAAAUGCGAUAAGUAAUGUGAAUUGCAGAAUUCAGUGAAUCAUCGAAUCUUUGAACGCACAUUGCGCCCGCCAGCAUUCUGGCGGGCAUGCCUGUUCGAGCGUCAUUUCAACCCUCAAGCUCUGCUUGGUGUUGGGGCCCUACGGUUGACGUAGGCCCUUAAAGGUAGUGGCGGACCCUCUCGGAGCCUCCUUUGCGUAGUAACUAACGUCUCGCAUUGGGAUUCGGAGGGACUCUUGCCGUAAAACCCCCAAAUUUUCUAAUGGUUGCCCUCGGAUCAGGUAGGAAUACCCGCUGAACUUAAGCAUAUCAAUAAGCGGAGGA
rnacentral:misc_RNA from 1 species